rnacentral:rRNA from 1 species
UUCGCUAAAGGGUGUUCGGGAGGCUACGCCGUAAAACAACCCCAUUUCUAAGGUUGACCUCGGAUCAGGUAGGGAUACCCGCUGAACUUAAGCAUAUCAAUAAC